GAAAAGAAACCAACAGGGAUUGCCCCAGUAACGGCGAGUGAAGCGGCAACAGCUCAAAUUUGAAAUCUGGCCCCCAGGGCCCGAGUUGUAAUUUGCAGAGGAUGCUUUUGGCGCGGUGCCUUCCGAGUUCCCUGGAACGGGACGCCAUAGAGGGUGAGAGCCCCGUCUGGUCGGACGCCUAGCCUGUGUAAAGCUCCUUCGACGAGUCGAGUAGUUUGGGAAUGCUGCUCUAAAUGGGAGGUAUAUGUCUUCUAAAGCUAAAUACCGGCCAGAGACCGAUAGCGCACAAGUAGAGUGAUCGAAAGAUGAAAAGCACUUUGAAAAGAGGGUUAAAUAGUACGUGAAAUUGUUGAAAGGGAAGCGCUUGUGACCAGACUUGGGCCCGGUGGAUCAUCCAGCGUUCUCGCUGGUGCACUCCGCCGGGUUCAGGCCAGCAUCAGUUCGCCGCGGGGGAAAAAGGCUUCGGGAACGUGGCUCCUACGGGAGUGUUAUAGCCCGUUGCAUAAUACCCUGGGGCGGACUGAGGUUCGCGCUCCGCAAGGAUGCUGGCGUAAUGGUCAUCAGC
rnacentral:rRNA from 1 species